rnacentral:rRNA from 1 species
CAGCCCUAAACGAUGCGCGUUAGGUGUAUCGGUGACCACGAGUCACCGAGGUGCCGAAGGGAAACCGUGAAACGUGCCGCCUGGGAAGUACGGUCGCAAGGCUGAAACUUAAAGGAAUUGGCGGGGGAGGCACCACAACGGGUGGAGCCUGCGGUUUAAUCGGACUCAACGCCGGGAAUCUCACCGGAUAAGACAGCUGAAUGAUAGUCGGGAUGAAGACUCUACUUGACUAGCUGAGAGGAGGUGCAUGGCGUAGUCGUGU